GCCAGACUCCUACGGGAGGCAGCAGUGGGGAAUAUUGCACAAUGGGGGAAACCCUGAUGCAGCGACGCCGCGUGAGUGAAGAAGUAUCUCGGUAUGUAAAGCUCUAUCAGCAGGGAAGAAAAUGACGGUACCUGACUAAGAAGCCCCGGCUAACUACGUGCCAGCAGCCGCGGUAAUACGUAGGGGGCAAGCGUUAUCCGGAUUUACUGGGUGUAAAGGGAGCGUAGACGGCAGAGCAAGUCUGAAGUGAAAGCCCGCGGCCCAACUGCGGGACUGCUUUGGAAACUGCCCGGCCAGAGUGCUGGAGAGGUAAGCGGAAUUCCUAGUGUAGCGGUGAAAUGCGUAGAUAUUAGGAGGAACACCAGUGGCGAAGGCGGCUUACUGGACAGUAACUGACGUUGAGGCUCGAAAGCGUGGGGAGCAAACAGGAUUAGAUCCCCUCGUA
rnacentral:rRNA from 1 species